AACACGCACACGUAAAAAGAGAACACACCUUGAACCAAAAACGCUUUGGCAUCAGCUUUUCUUGGAAUCCAUUUUUUAAAUGGAUUUCCAAAGGAAAACGAGCCAAAAUAAAAACAAAUCGCUUUUGUGCUCUUUUUUUUUUUUUUUUGUAUUUAUUUGGCCACGACCGCAUAUAGCUUAACUUCCUUUCUUUUUUUUUGUUUUGUUUUUCUUCGUGCUCCAUGAAUUAUUUAUUCCUAUUUUACAUGAAGUCUUUGUUGUUUGCAUUACGUGGUCGUAGGGUGCCUUUCCUUUUUCAGAAGAAAACUACAUUUUUCCAUUUAUCCUUUUUUUGAUUUCUUUAUCUGCAAAGUUCCGUGUUUUGUUUUGCUUUCUAAAAGGACUAGAAACACUUCCCCUCAUUCUCUUGCUGAACCCUUUUUAUGUUUUGUUUGCUUCUUCUUCGCCUUGCGGCAUCCUCAGCUUCAAACCAUCGGCUAAACGCAGACACACGCUAGAAAGGCUUUGAUGAUAAUCGUUUCUGACUGGCCCGUAAACACUUGUUCAUUAACGUAGUCGUCGUUGUAGUGUGCAUAAGCAAGUAUUUUUUUUUUUCUCUCUAUCCCUUCAAGAAAAAAAAAAAACAUUUAUCGUUUACUACACAGCAGAAGACGUCAUAUUAAUCAGCCAAACUCUCUAUACGCUACAUAUACGUACAGCAACAUACAUACACACAAUGUAGUUGGUUGCCAGCCAAAACAAAAACAAAGUGUUUGUGACGCAGAACGUUGGGUUUCUUUGGAAUGAUCUCCGCUUGAUUAGUCAGCAAACAAACAAAAAAAAAAAAAAAAAAAAAAAAAAAGUACAAAAAGGGAACAAAAAAAAGAAAAAGCCAAACCAAGAAACAAAAAUGGUAGUGCUCGACUUUUUUUUUUCUUUUACUGCCUCCGGCUUACGUAUUCACCCCCUAAAUCACUCUGGCGGCGUAAUUUGGCAGGUAAGUAUAUUUUUCAUUUUGUUUGGUAAAAAAUGUUUUGAUUUAUCUUUUUAGUUUGUCCUGCUAGUCGGGAUUAUUAUUUAAAUUGCUAUUUAUCAAAUGGAAGCCUGAUUGUUGCAUUGUUAUCAAACAAAAUAAGAAAGAAAAAUAAUUGGGUGGAUUUGCAUUAUCUUUGCCUGAUAAAAUCUCUUUUUUUUUUAUCCUUGUUCUGUUGUGUUUUUGGUGAUUCGUGUUGACUGCUGUAGAAAUGAAAACUUAAAAAAACAAAACAAUUCUGUUAAUAAUGUUUUGAAUAAUUUCUACUCCUAUUUUGCAUGCAUCUCGGCUCUGCUUUGCCCGUCAUUUUUUUUUCCUGGCCUCAAUGGAUUCAUCCCCGGCGAAUCCGACACACGUCUUCAUGUGUGUUUAUGACCAAAAAAAAAAAAAAAAAAAAACAACUACGCAUGUGUUUCUUAAUUUGUUUUUGCCUGCCUGGAUUGCAAUAAUGUUUGGCAACCGUGUCUUCUGCCCGUGUAUUUUUGCUUGCAACGUCGGGAUGUCGUAUUUGCACGAACACAACCACUUCUUCUCUUGGUUGGUGGUGGUGGUGAAUGCUCUCUGGUGGUGGUUUUGCUAAUCGACAAAUAUACCCACAUCCCUACACUCUCGGAUAUUUGCAUUGUGAUGGCCGUCCUCACAGUUUCAACUAACGUUCUCAGUGUCAACUACACUGACGAACAAGGCCAAUUACUGGACACCCUCCCGGUAUGCCGCGAUUUUAAGUAUGGCGAAUGCAAGCGCGCUGCCUGCAAAUAUAUCCACCUUCUCGAUGAUCACGUGGAGAUAAC